GGGGGGAUAUUGCACAAUGGGCGAAAGCCUGAUGCAGCGACGCCGCGUGGGGGAUGAAGGCCUUCGGGUUGUAAACUUCUUUUGCUCUGAACAAGGCAUGCCUUUGGGGUGUGUUGAGUGUAGGGGUUGAUUAGCGCCGGCUAACUACGUGCCAGCAGCCGCGGUAAUACGUAGGGCGCGAGCGUUGUCCGGAAGUAUUGGGCGUAAAGGGCUUGUAGGUGGCUGGUUGCGUCUGUCGUGAAAGCUCAUGGCUUAACUGUGGGUUUGCGGUGGGUACGGGCUGGCUUGAGUGCAGUAGGGGAGGCUGGAAUUCCUGGUGUAGCGGUGGAAUGCGCAGAUAUCAGGAGGAAUACCGGUGGCGAAGGCGGGUCUCUGGGCUGUUACUGACGCUGAGGAGCGAAAGCGUGGGGAGCGAACAGG
rnacentral:rRNA from 1 species